UGCCAAUUGCCAACCCAUUCGAAAUUCUGGACGUGGCCGCCACUCAACGUUUACCUUCUUCCUUCUCCUUAUUUACAUUCUCAGAUUCUUCACUUCAUUCUGCAACUUCCGAGCUAUGGCUAUGGCGUCCCGAGAAUGGCCGCGAAACGUCUCUCUUAUCUUCAAGAAACUCUUGCAUCUUCUCACUGUCACUCUCCUCAGCCUCUCGCUUCCACUUUCAUUUCUUCUCUUUUGCAGGCUCGCUCGUUCUCAGUAUCUACAGGCUUUUCUUUCUCCGUCAACGCCUCUUUCUUUUUCCUUCCUCGCAUAUGCUGACCGAGUUCUUCUUUUGGUUCUUAUUUCUCUCAUCGCCAUAGCCGCUUUUCUGGAUAACUUGCUUGGUAAAUCGAUUCUUCCGGCGAGACCGUCUGGCCUGAGCGCGGCUUGGAUCGGUCUAUGUGCGUUGCAGGUCGGUAUGGCGUUGGGAGUGGACGAGGGAUUGGCGAUUGGUAUCGACGCUUCGAGCAUAGGAUUGCGGAGAAAUUUGUGGUGCCGGUUGAUGUUUUUCUUAGGGUUGCAUACGGCGAUGAUUCAUUGGUCGAAGGCGGCGGUGAAGCCGGUGGUGGACGAUACCGUUUUCGGAACGCCUGUGGAGGAGAGUUGGAGUGAAAGAAUCGCCAUGGCGGUGAGCUUUGGGGGAUUAUGGUGGUGGAGGUUGAGAGAUGAAGCUGAAUCUCCGGCGAUUACUGCGGAAAGCAAGAUGGAGCUUCUUAUCGACCUAACUAUGGUGGAUUUCGCCGGUUGGGCUCUCUAUGACCUCAUUAUCGCAAUCGGAUUCGUUAAAACGUCGAGAAUCUUCGUUUGGUUUCUGAAAUUUAUCCUUCGCGAAAGGAAGGAGGAAAGUUCUUCCCAAUUCUCCCAAUCCAAACGGAUUGAAGUCGUCUGAGAUUAAGCCUCUUCUGCAAUUAUUGAUUUCUCCUAUUUGAGUUAUUUCAUUUUUAUGGGCAGGAGGUUUCUACCCCUCUAAUGGCAGCCAGGAGAAGCAGGAGACUGAGCUCAGAUGCAAAGAAGACGAUUGUCUCUUUAGAAUGGAGGUGUUUGGAGAUUUCAACCUCUAUGAACAGAACAUUUCCAAGAUUGGAGAUCAAGCAAACUAUCAACAAUGCUACUUAGAUUGUUUAAUUCUUGAUGAUUGCUGUUUGGUAAUGACGAUCAUAAGGGUGGAAAUCUCUCCGAGCAUAACAUUUUAAAAACAUCAAGGAGAAGCCAAAAGAGAAAGAGGACAAUAUUGACUAUCGGUGGGCUUUGACUGUUACAAAUGGUAUCAGAACCAGUUUCGAGACAGUGUGCGAGCGAGGAUGCUUUGCUCACUAAGAGGUGGAUUGUGUUUUUUAUACCUAGCAGGUGAUUUUAAGAAAGUACAAAAAGGACAAUAUCUACUCACGGUGAGCUUAGGCUAUAACAAAUCUAGCUACAUAAUCUAUCAAAUUCGACUCCAGUAACUUUGAAUCCAUUUGCAACUGCUAAACAACUACGACACCGAAGUCAAGAGGAUGAAGGUGACAAAUCUUGACCAAAGGAGUACGGUGUUAGCUGAAAGUCCCACCUAGGCAAAUUUAGGGAAGUUUAAUGAGUGUAUAAUUAAAGAAUACUCUAUCUAUUAGUAUGAAUCAUUUUGGGAAGCUCAAAGCAAAUCCAUGUUUAAAGUUGAUAAUAUUAUACCAUUGUGAAAAGUCGGACUUCAUCUAACACAGUGAAGCCGCCACUACUUCAUAAGACAGCAAUGAAAGAUCCAAGUCUCAUGUGGGGCAGGGAUUGAAAACGAGCAACGAGGGAGU